GUACAGUUUUUCGAUACUUGCACGGAUUCUACUAUUUCCCGGUACUCGCCCGGAUUCUUCCUUUUUACGGUACUCACAUUGAUUCAACCCUUUUCUCGUACUCGCCCUGACAGUUUUUCGAUACUCGCACGGAUUAUAUCUUUUCCCGGUACUCACCCGGAUUCUACCAUUUUUCGGUAGUCACACUAAUUUGACCUUUUUCCGGUAUUAGUCGGGACACUUUUUCGGUACUCACACUGAUUCGACCAUUUUCUGGAACUCGUCGGGACAGUUUUUCGACACUUGCACGGAUUCUACUAUUUCCCGGUACUCGCCCGGAUUCUUCCAUUUUUCGUUACUCACACUCAUUCAACCCUUUUCUCGUACUCGCCCGGACACUUUUUCGAUACUCGCACGGAUUCUACCUUUUCCCGGUACUCACCCGGAUUCUACCAUUUUUCGGUACUCACACUAAUUGGACCCUUUUCCAGAACUCGUCGGUAUAGUUUUUCGAUACUCGCACGGAUUCUACUAUUUCCCGGUACUCGCCCGGAUUCUUCCAUUUUUCGGUACUCAUAUUGAUUCAACCCUUUUCUCGUACUCGCCGGGACAGUUUUUCGAUACUCGCACGGAUUCUAUCUUUUCCCGGUACUCACCCGGAUUCUACCAUUUUUCGGUACUCACACUAAUUUGACCUUUUUCCGGUAUUAGUCGGGACACUUUUUCGGUACUCACACUGAUUCGACCAUUUUCUCGUACUCGUCGGGACACUUUUUCGACACUGGCACGGAUUCUACUAUUUCUCGGUACUCGCCCGGAUUCUUCCAUUUUUCGGUACUCACACU
rnacentral:lncRNA from 1 species